rnacentral:rRNA from 1 species
AACGAACGCUGGCGGCAGGCUUAACACAUGCAAGUCGAGCGCCCCGCAAGGGGAGCGGCAGACGGGUGAGUAACGCGUGGGAACGUACCCUUUACUACGGAAUAGCUCCGGGAAACUGGAAUUAAUACCGUAUGUGCCCUUCGGGGGAAAGAUUUAUCGGUAAAGGACCGGCCCGCGUUGGAUUAGCUAGUUGGUGGGGUAAAGGCCUAACAAGGCGACGAUCCAUAGCUGGUCUGAGAGGAUGAUCAGCCACAUUGGGACUGAGACACGGCCCAAACUCCUACGGGAGGCGGCAGUGGGGAAUAUUGGACAAUGGGCGCAAGCUUGAUCCAGCCAUGCCGCGUGAGUGAUGAAGGCCUUAGGGUUGUAAAGCUCUUUCACCGGAGAAGGUAAUGACGGUAGUCGGAGAAGAAGCCCCGGCUAACUUCGUGCCAGCCGCCGCAGUAAUAC